AGGACGAACGCUGGCGGCGUGCUUAACACAUGCAAGUCGAGCGGAAAGGCCUUUCGGGGUACUCGAGCGGCGAACGGGUGAGUAACACGUGAGUAAUCUGCCCAUCGCUUCAGGAUAGCCAUCGGAAACGGUGAUUAAUACUGGAUAUGACUAUUCCUUCGCAUGGUUGGGGUGUAGGUAAAGUUUUUCGGCGGUGGAUGUGCUCGCGGUCUAUCGAGUCUUGGUUGGUGGGGUAAUGGCCUAACCAAGGUCUUUGGACGGGUA
rnacentral:rRNA from 1 species